AAUAAAUUUUUGAGAAUCGUCAAAUCAACAUAAUAUGGACGGCGUUAUGCAUAACUCGACCAAGCGCCAAAACAUAGUUUUGAGAUAAACGGCUUCAAAGUUUUUCGUUUCUGGGUUGCUUAAUGGUCGCUUAAUGGUAAGUGGAUUAAUGUCGCUUGAUUUAAUGUUGUUUUUCUUAGUAACCGUUAACGUGACAAUAACAGGGAUUUUUUCCAAGAUAGUUUAACCCUGUAAGCGCGCAUGAUGCUCUCAAGCAACAUUGACUUCAAACUUUCCAUAUACGUCGAAUUUUACCACAGUAGGACGGUGUGGUAUCCAAGCGACAACCGUUCGUCUAUGAUUCUGGCAUGUGCGCCACCUGUAUUACAAUUUUUUAACUUAGUAAGCAUCAUUUCGAGUGUGAGGUUUCAAUGGAAGUGUUGUAGUGCCGACGUUGCUAAUUAAAUAUAAACAAAUCGAAAUAUGAACAUCCCUCCUGUUACGUUUUAUGAAAAAAAAACCAGCUACAUACAUAGUUCCUGUUAGAGCAGAUGUAUCAGAUACAGAGAGUAUAUCCGAUGAUAAGGACAUCGAAAGUAAGCAUUUGAAUGAGUGUUUAGUUGCAGAUUCGGGAGAUGAAUAUGAUGAAAUACAAAUAGGUAGC
rnacentral:lncRNA from 1 species